rnacentral:pre_miRNA from 1 species
GACUUUCUGAAUCCGUGCAGAGAUUUCGUCAGACACUAACUCAUUAGGGCUGAUCAAACUUCCAAGAUAGAUGAAUUU